GAGUUAAUGACACAGUUGCCCACUUUUUUGCCUGCUCUCUUUGAAGCAUUUGGACAUCAGAGUGCUGAUGUAAGGAAGACUGUUGUCUUCUGUCUUGUUGACAUCUACAUAAUGCUUGGGAAACAAUUUUUGCCACAUUUGGAAGGACUCAACAGCACUCAACUACGUUUGGUUACAAUUUACGCCAAUCGAAUUUCGCAAGCUAGGACGGGAACCACCAUUGAUG
rnacentral:misc_RNA from 1 species